rnacentral:rRNA from 1 species
GGGGACAACCCGCCGAAAGGCGGGCUAAACCCGCGUACAUGCCACCGGGGCAUCCCGGAGGCAGGAAAGGCUUCGGCCGGACAGGGAUGGGCAUGCGGCGCAUUAGGCAGUAGGCGGGGUAACGGCCCACCUAACCGACGAUGCGUAGGGGUUCUGAGAGGAAGGUCCCCCACACUGGUACUGAGACACGGACCAGACUCCUACGGGAGGCAGCAGUGAGGAAUAUUGGUCAAUGGUCGGGAGACUGAACCAGCCAAGCCGCGUGAGGGAUGAAGGUACAGAGUAUCGUAAACCUCUUUUGUCAGGGAACAAAGGCGGGGACGUGUCCCCGGAUGAGUGUACCUGAAGAAAAAGCAUCGGCUAACUCCGUGCCAGCAGCCGCGGUAAUACGGAGGAUGCGAGCGUUAUCCGGAUUUAUUGGGUUUAAAGGGUGCGCAGGCGGUCUGUUAAGUCAGCGGUCAAAGCCCGGGGCUCAACCCCGGCUCGCCGUUGAAACUGGCAGUCUCGAGUUGGAGAGAAGUAUGCGGAAUGCGCGGUGUAGCGGUGAAAUGCAUAGAUAUCGCGCAGAACUCCGAUUGCGAAGGCAGCAUGCCGGCUCCACACUGACGCUGAGGCACGAAAGCGUGGGUAUCGAACAGGAUUAGAUACCCUGGUAGUCCACGCAGUAAACG